GGGAUGAUGGCUCCCAGCAUUAUGUCAUAAAAUAAAGCUCUCCGAUUUGCUAAAAAAUUUUAAAAUUUAAAAAAAACUCUGAUUGGCUGGCUAAAAUUUCCCAGCGAAUCACGGAGCUUUAUUUUGUGAUGUAACGCUGGAAGCCAUCAUCCC